ensembl:lncRNA
AAAAGCGCACUGACUUAAAAAAAAAAAAAAAAGUAAAAAGGGAAGGAAAAUAUAAAUUGUGCCUCAUCUUUCACUGAAUGCUAUAUUUAUUAUUCUAGAAAAAGAGAACUGACAAAUAGAGAAAUACUAUACAGCAUCUACUAAAUCCCUCAGGCUGUCCCGGGCGGGAGGAAUAAGAAAAAUAAACAUCUCAUGGAAAAUUAAAACAUUUUCAAAUUUAAUUUUAAAAAAGUUUUAUACCAAAAGAAUUAAGCAGACUAAGGACUUUGUAUUAAUAGGGUAAGUGCUUCAAAUUAAUAAAAUCAUUUAAAGUGAGUUGGAACAGAAACCAGUACCAGAGUCCUCAAAGAGCUGCACACACUUGAAGGUGCCCCUGCAGUCAGACACCUCAGGUACCCAGAGGCAGCAGCAAUAGACGCUGUUGAGAAGUUAGUAUUUAUGGAGAUUUUUAUUAAAGAAAAGAAUUUCCUGCUGCCUAAGCCAAUGGCUUUUGUGAGGGAAAUGUCCCUUUGCCUUUAAUUUAUUUACAUACUGGAAGUAUAUGAGUUUCUUAGUUGCAUCUUACUUUAAGUCAAAACAUUGUAAAGAAGAAAAUAAGAACCAGGUGGAAGUUGACUAGAUGCUGCCAAAUCAAAUCCAAGAUCUCCUAACUGAACCUUACGGGCCUGCUUCUCUCCCAGACAAGUAGUUACAUCCCUGUUCUAGGAACCCUUUGUGGUUGGCUGGUGUGUUUACUUCCUGCUGUAGCCAGCCAAGAUGAAUGCACCCUGGCCCUCAAAAUUUUACCUCAAUCUAGCUUGACCCUCAUACUUGUGGUUGCCUCGGAGACAAGCAUUCAUGCUAGUGUUAAAAAAAAUUACAAAUGCCCUCAAUGGCUAGGAACUGACCCUCUUAUUCAAGAUGGCAAACCUCUUGCCUGCUUUGAUCCAGUCCCUCUCAGGCUGACGGACAGUGCCGCAUUGUAAAGAAUUUCCAGAUGUCUCUUAAAUGUCAUGAAUAAAAUUGGGAACUAUAGAAGUGUUAAUGUGUCCUAUGGACUCAAUAGCAGAGUUUAUUUUUGUUUUUAAUGUCAAGGUUUCUAGAGUCAACGAUUGUAUGAGUUUUCCCCUCUGGCUAUGAUUACAGUUCCAUCCAAGUGUAAGAAGUGAUGAAGUGGGUUGGCGGGCAGUGGGCACAGCCCUAGCCAGGUCCCAGCGUAAACGUGAGAGGC